rnacentral:lncRNA from 1 species
UAGCAUUUUGGACCUAAAUUCUAAAAAGGAACUUGCUCAUUUUUAAUUGGGUUAUUGGGCUUUUUGCUCUUGAGUUACAGGAGUUCAUUAUAUAUCUUGGAAAUUAAUGUUUGUCAAAUAUAUGUUUGCAAAUAUUUUUCAUUCCAUAGGUUGCCUCAUCACUCUGUUGAUGGGCUAAAAACCUGAAUAGCCAUUUGUCCAAAGAAGACAUACAAGUUGCCAACAGACAAAUGAAAAAAUGCUCAACAUCACUAAUCAUCAGGGAAAUGCAAAUCAAAACCAAAAUUCACCAGUGAUUGCGCUCAUUUAUAAAAGCAUCCAAAACAAAAUUGAACCCCAAGGCUGAUAUGCUAUAAAGAUGCUGAUCAGAUCGGAGCAGAAUGGACCAUGCUUUGGGGCUUGCUCAGCUAAAGAUGGUUCUAGAAGACUGAUGACUUUAUAGACACAAUUACAAACACCACAGCUCUGUCAGAUGAAUGGAAACUCAUGAAAUAUGAUCUGGCCCUUUAUUAAGUAAAGAAUGGCAUUUUGUAAAAUACUUCUUAAGAUUCAGUAAUUUUUUGAAGGUAAUUAAUUUCCCCCCAUUCUUUGGCAGAAGAUAUAAUCAAACAACCUUUCAAGAAAGAACAAUCCAAUAGUAUGUUUAUAAAAUAGUUAUAUAAAACAAAGACUAAUUGAUUUUUUAUGGCUCAAACUAAUAGGAAUGAACCUUGUCAACACUAUGUAAUUGUUAUCCAUAAUCAGCGGAAGUCAUAAUCAAUAAGAAAUUAGAAAUAUGUUAAUUUUUUCUGGAGUUCCUCUCCGAAAAGAGGUUGGAUGUAAGAAAACAACUUGGAAGUUUUUUUGUGUUUUGUUUUGUUUUCAGUAAUACAAAUAGCUAAAUAUGUAGUAACAGUGAGACAAUAUAUUAAAAAUAAGACUGGUUUUCAAUUAGAGAUUAAUGCCCAUUUAUCAGAGAUGGUGUUAGUCCAUAUGAUCAGGGAUGAUUAGACUUGCUGUUGGUCAUUAUGUUCUAGCAUGUCCCAUGAGAUUUCAGAUUCAUAUUUUAUUAUAAUAAGACUUUGAAUUUGCAUUUCUGCAGAUACUUUUUGCUAA